ensembl:snRNA U6 U6 spliceosomal RNA
GUGCUCACUUCAGCAAUACAUACACUAAAACUGAAAUGAUACAGACAUGAUUAGUACGGUUCCUGUGCAAGGAUGAUAUGCAAACUUGUAAAGUAUUCCAUAUUUGA